UUAAGCAUAUCAAUAAGCGGAGGAAAAGAAACCAACCGGGAUUGCCUUAGUAACGGCGAGUGAAGCGGCAAAAGCUCAAAUUUGAAAUCUGGUACCUUCGGUGCCCGAGUUGUAAUUUGGAGAGGGCAACUUUGGGGCCGUUCCUUGUCUAUGUUCCUUGGAACAGGACGUCAUAGAGGGUGAGAAUCCCGUGUGGCGAGGAGUGCGGUUCUUUGUAAAGUGCCUUCGAAGAGUCGAGUUGUUUGGGAAUGCAGCUCUAAGUGGGUGGUAAAUUCCAUCUAAAGCUAAAUAUUGGCGAGAGACCGAUAGCGAACAAGUACAGUGAUGGAAAGAUGAAAAGAACUUUGAAAAGAGAGUGAAAAAGUACGUGAAAUUGUUGAAAGGGAAGGGCAUUUGAUCAGACAUGGUGUUUUGUGCCCUCUGCUCCUUGUGGGUAGGGGAAUCUCGCAUUUCACUGGGCCAGCAUCAGUUUUGGUGGCAGGAUAAAUCCAUAGGAAUGUAGCUUGCCUCGGUAAGUAUUAUAGCCUGUGGGAAUACUGCCAGCUGGGACUGAGGACUGCGACGUAAGUCAAGGAUGCUGGCAUAAUGGU
rnacentral:rRNA from 1 species